rnacentral:rRNA from 1 species
AUUGAACGCUGGCGGCAGGCCUAACACAUGCAAGUCGGGUGAGCGGCGGACGGGUGAGUAAUGUAUGGGGACUGCCUUAUGGCGGGGGAUAACUACUGGAAACGGUAGCUAAUACCGCAUACCCUCAGAUUACCCAUCUGUGAUUAGCUAGUAGAUGAGGGAACGGCGUACCUAGGCGACGAUCCCUAGCUGGUCUGAGAGGGUGAUCAGCAACACUGGGACUGAGACACGGCCCAGACUCCUACGGAGGCAGCAGUGGGGAAUAUUGCACAAUGGGCGCAAGCCUGAUGCAGCCAUGCCGCGUGUAUGAAGAAGUCCUUAGGGUUGUAAAGUACUUUCAGUCGGGAGGCGUUACCGACAGAAGAAGCACCGGCUAACUCCGUGCCAGCCGCCGCGGUAAUAC